rnacentral:snoRNA from 1 species
UUGAAAUGAUGAUAUUUUCUGUACAACAGAAAAAUUGUGGCUGUUGACUUGAGAACGAGCUUUUUAAUACUGAACAAC